UGGAGGAACAACCCCAGUGGCGGGGCCAGCUCUGGAGCCCUGGAUUCAGCUCCCACAGUAACUAGGGAGCUCUCAACCUGCAGGGCCUGGAGGCUCCGGGGGCGG
rfam:Canis lupus familiaris chromosome X, whole genome shotgun sequence.